rnacentral:lncRNA from 1 species
AUAAAACCGCUAUUCUCUAGAAAAACGGAGACCACAAAGGUUCCAAUCCUCUUUGACCUUCAUCAUAUGUUAGUGAAAGAUGCAACUAUGCAUUAAAAUAGAAUUUUCGUUUUUUAAAUUUUUCUCAAUAUCUAUGGGUUUUGAUUUUCGGUAAAUACUCUAUAUACUGAAGCCUAUGAUUUUUAGUGUAGUUUUAAAAAAUUUAAACACAUUUAAAUAGGUAUGUACGAAUAAAACACCUAGUAUUUUAGUAUUAGACAAUAAUUUCAAAACUAAUACAUGUAUAGCGAAGGCAGGAAAAUAAAAAAUAAAAAAAACACUGAUUAGUUCAAAUUAUAUCUCAAUAUAAAUACAGAAAACUAAUACUGAACAUUCAGCUGUUAUAUCUGAAUUAGAGUUAAUUAAAAGAAACUUCUAACAUAAAAAAAAAAUUACCCAACACCAUAUAGUUUCACAUACAUACACCAUAUAGUAUAUAGUUUCAUACACAC